GGAGGGGUGGUUGAGCGGCCUAAAACACCCGACUUGGAAUCGGGCGCUCCCUGAUUAACCCAGGGGGCCACGCGUUCGAAUCGCGUCCCCUCCG
rnacentral:tRNA from 1 species